AACGAACGCUGGCGGCAGGCCUAACACAUGCAAGUCGAACGCGCGUAGCAAUACGCGAGUGGCGCACGGGUGAGUAACACGUGGGAAUCUACCCAGAGGUUCGGAAUAACCGCGGGAAACUGCGGCUAAUACCGGAUGUCCCCUACGGGGGAAGAUUAUCGCCUUUGGACGAGCCCGCGUCCGAUUAGCUAGUUGGUGAGGUAAUGGCUCACCAAGGCUACGAUCGGUAGCUGGUCUGAGAGGACGACCAGCCACACUGGAACUGAGACACGGUCCAGACUCCUACGGGAGGGCAGCAGUGGGGAAUUUUGCGCAAUGGGCGAAAGCCUGACGCAGCAACGCCGCGUGAGUGAAGAAGG
rnacentral:rRNA from 1 species